AUGUCCAGAGUGAAGAUGAAGCAGAGUACCACUGUGCACAGAGUGAUGCACUCCCUUUCACACAGUGAUAAAGAGCUGUACAAAAACCUCACUGGCACAGACAGCAGCAGCACAGAUUCCAGAGGUGACAUUACAGUAGAUCAGUCGCCCCCUGCCAUAUCAGUUCUGGCAGGUCAAACUGUCAUUAUAAAGUGUAAAGCCUCCCAAGUUAUUGGUAACGAUAUGGAGCUGUAUCAGCUUAAACCUGGAUAUGCACGUAAGAUGUUAAUAUAUGAUGGAAAUACACUUGUCACUGGAACCCCAAGUCGGUUCAGUGGUACCUGGAGUGGAGCUGACCACACGUUCACCAUCAGCAAUGUACAGAGUGAAGACGAAGCAGAAUACCACUGUGGGCAGAGUGAUGCAUUCCCUUUCACACAGUGA